rnacentral:rRNA from 1 species
GGGAUAACUUCGGGAAACUGAAGGUAAACCCAGAUAGAAGAAUUCGCCUGGAAUGGUUUUUCUUCCAAAUUCGUGCCAAAGGAUUGGACGGCGUUCGAUUAGGUUGAUGGUGGUGUAAUGGACCACAUGCCUACGAUCGAUACGGGCCUUGAGAGAGGUAGCCCGGAGAGGAACACUGAGAUACUGGUUCCAGCCCUACGGGGUGCAGCAGGCGCGAAACCUUUACAAUGCACGCAAGUGUGAUAAGGGGAUCCUAAGUGCUCAUGCUUCGGCAUGGGCUUUUUUUAAGAGUAAGUAUCUUAGAGAAUAAGUGGUGGGUAAGACUGGUGCCAGCCGCCGCGGUAACACCAGCGCCACAAGUGGCAGCCGCGUUUAUUGGGCCUAAAGCGUCCGUAGCCGGUUAAAUAAAUCUUUUGUGAAAUCGUCAGGCUCAACUUGACGGCGUGCAGAAGACACUGUUUAACUCGAGACCGGGAGGAGUCAGAGGUAUUCCUGAGGGAGCGGUAAAAUGUGAUAAUCUCAGGAGGAUCACCUAUGGCGAAGGCAUCUGACCAGAACGGAUCUGACGAUGAGGGACGAAGGCUGGGGGAGCGAUCCGGAUUAGAUACCCGAGUAGUCCCAGCAGUAAACUCUGCUAGCAAGAGUUGCGCAUUCUUGAGAAUGCGCAGUGUCGAAACGAAGGUGUUAAGCUAGCCGCCUGGGAAGUACGGUCGCAAGACUGAAACUUUAAGGAAUUGGCGGGGGAGCACCACAAGGGGUGCGGCGUGCGGUUUAAUCUAACUCAACACAGAGAACCUUACUAGAAGCGACGGCAGGAAGACGGCCUGGCUGAAGACCAUGCUUGACGAGCCGAGAGGUAGUGCAUGGCCGCCGUCAGCUCGUGCUGUAAGGUGUCCAGUUAAGUCUGGCAACGAGCGAGACCUAUACCCUCUAUUGCUAACGGCAACAUGUUGGACCGAGUACUUUGAGGGGACUGCCUUGGAAACAAGGAGGAAGGUGUAGGCAACGGUAGGUCUGUAUGCUCCGAAUCUUCUAGGCUACACGCGCGCAACAAUGGUAAUGACAAUGGGUCGCAACUCCGAAAGGAGAAGCUAAUCCUCGAAACAUUACCUCAGUUCGGAUCGCGGAUUGUAACUCAUCCGCGUGACGUCGGAAUCCCUAGUAAUCAGACGUCAUCAUCGUCUGGUGAAUAUGUCCCUGCUCCUUGCACACACCGCCCGUCAAACCAACCGAGCAGGAUUUUGGUAAAAUCUACUUUCUUGAGUAGUUUGAACCUAAGUUCAGUGAGGCGGGUUAAGUCGUCACAAGGUA